rnacentral:misc_RNA from 1 species
GGAGGUAAAAGUCGUAACAAGGUCUCCGUUGGUGAACCAGCGGAGGGAUCAUUACCGAGUUUUCAACUCCCAAACCCUUUUGUGAACAUACCUAUCGUUGCUUCGGCGGACUCGCCCCAGCGUCCGGCCGGCCCCGCGCCGGCCGCGGCCUGGAUCCAGGCGGCCGCCGGAGACCCCCAAACUCUGUAUUCUCAGUAUCUUCUGAAUCCGCCGCAAGGCAAAACAAAUGAAUCAAAACUUUCAACAACGGAUCUCUUGGUUCUG